rnacentral:rRNA from 1 species
GACGAACGCUGGCGGCGUGCUUAACACAUGCAAGUCGAACGGAAAGGCCCUGCUUUUGUGGGGUGCUCGUGUGGCGAACGGGUGAGUGACACGUGAGGAACCUGCCCUUGUCUUUGGGAUAAAUUCAGGAAACUGGGGCUAAUACCGGAUAUGAGAUACUGAUGCGUGGUGGUCGUUGGUGAGUGUCGGCCGUUGGGGCUGGACUGGAGGCUUAUCCGCUUGUUGGUGAGGUUGUGGCUUUCCAAGGCUUUGACGGGUAGGCCGCCUGAGAGGGUGAACGGCGACAUUGCUACUGAGGUACGCCGCAGACUCCUAUGGGAGGCAGUAGUGGGGAACAUUGCAGAGUGGCCGGAAGCGUGAGACAGCAGCGCCGCGUGCGUGAAGCCGGCCUACGAGUGGAAAACAACUUUGUACGGUAACGAGGCGGUAGUGACGGUACCGGGUCAAGAAGCCCCGGCUAACUACGUG